rnacentral:rRNA from 1 species
AGAUUGAACGCUGGCGGCAUGCCUUACACAUGCAAGUCGAACGGCAGCACGGGAGCAAUCCUGGUGGCGAGUGGCGAACGGGUGAGUGAUACAUCGGAACGUGCCCAAUCGUGGGGGAUAACGCAGCGAAAGCUGUGCUAAUACCGCAUAAGAUCUACGGAUGAAAGCAGGGGAUCGCAAGACCUUGCGCGAAUGGAGCGGCCGAUGGCAGAUUAGGUAGUUGGUGAGGUAAAGGCUCACCAAGCCUUCGAUCUGUAGCUGGUCUGAGAGGACGACCAGCCACACUGGGACUGAGACACGGCCCAGACUCCGUACGGGAGCAGCAGGUGGGAAUUUGGACAAGUGGGACGAAAGCCUGACUCCAGCCAGUCGCGCGUGCAGGAUGAAGUCCGUUGGUUAGUAAACGUGUACGUUUUAGUACGUAACGAAACGUUCUAC